rnacentral:rRNA from 1 species
AUACGGAGGGUCCAAGCGUUAUCCGGAAUCAUUGGGUUUAAAGGGUGCGCAGGCGGUUUAAUAAGUCAGUGGUGAAAUCUCGGAGCUCAACUCCGAAACUGCCAUUGAUACUGUUAAACUUGAGUUCAGUUGGAGUAGGCGGAAUGUGUAGUGUAGCGGUGAAAUGCUUAGAAAUUACACAGAACACCGAUAGCGAAGGCAGCUUACUAAACUGAUGCUGACGCUGAGGCACGAAAGCGUGGGGAGCGAACAGGAUUAGAAACCCUAGUAGUCC